CUGAAACAGGUAGGAUUCUUAUAGUGUCCAGCCUGAAAAGAACUGGAGCAGAUUGUCCCUAAAAGGUGUGUUGGUCAAAAUCAUUUGGCAUUUUCCGAGGGAACAAGAUCAAGGGAAGAUGAGGACUGGUUACACAUCACAUUUGAUUUGAUUAAUUUCAAUGAGUCCGCGCUGUUCCUCUGUUUGUGUUCACUGAUCAACUCAACUCCCUACACGCGUGAGUGAAUGGAGGCUGGACUGAAGUGAAAUCCCCCACAGCUCGUCCAGUGUGGGAUCAAGGCUGCAUUUAAUUUACCGUUUUAAGACAUGGGGAACGGACUUUACGGAGGGGACUCGAAUGCAGCGUAUGGUGUUGGUAGUGUCUUUGUGUUCCCCGCCCUCAUUUGAAACUGGAGGCGUAUACAUAUCAAAAACAAUGUGCUGCCCAGUUUAUAUUUUGCUGCUCCUGGAUGAUCAAAAAAACUUUCAAAAAACACUGAUUAUGAGUCGGUCAAUAAUUUGAAUGGAUUGAAUCUCAGUGCUUAAUUAUUUACAAUAUGCAUCAUCUUAUUUGUCUGAAAUGAUGAGUUAGAGCACACUGAUAAUGCCUGAUUUACAUGAAAAAGUCAUUAGGGUGUUGUUGCUGUUUGUAUCAAUAGUUUUGCAGUCUCCAUGUUAUAUGCAUGUCUCCAUGUUAUAUGCAUGUCUCCAUGCCUA